CUGGCUCAGGAUGAACGCUGGCGGCGUGCUUAACACAUGCAAGUCGAACGGGAUCCAAGCAGCUUGCUGUUUGGUGAGAGUGGCGAACGGGUGAGUAAUGCGUGACCGACCUGCCCCAUACACCGGAAUAGCUCCUGGAAACGGGUGGUAAUGCCGGAUGCUCCAGUUGGAUGCAUGUCCUUCUGGGAAAGAUUCUAUCGGUAUGGGAUGGGGUCGCGUCCUAUCAGGUAGUCGGCGGGGUAACGGCCCACCGAGCCUACGACGGGUAGCCGGCCUGAGAGGGCGACCGGCCACAUUGGGACUGAGAUACGGCCCAGACUCCUACGGGAGGCAGCAGUGGGGAAUAUUGCACAAUGGGCGCAAGCCUGAUGCAGCGACGCCGCGUGCGGGAUGACGGCCUUCGGGUUGUAAACCGCUUUUGACUGGGAGCAAGCCCUUCUGGGUGAGUGUACCUUUCUAAUAAGCACCGGCUAACUACGUGCCACCAGCCGCGGUAAUACGUAGGGUGCAAGCGUUAUCCGGAAUUAUUGGGCGUAAAGGGCUCGUAGGCGGUUCGUCGCGUCCGGUGUGAAAGUCCAUCGCUUAACGGUGGAUCAGCGCCGGGUACGGGCGGGCUUGAGUGCGGUAGGGGAGACUGGAAUUCCCGGUGUAACGGUGGAAUGUGUAGAUAUCGGGAAGAACACCAAUGGCGAA
rnacentral:rRNA from 1 species